GAUGAACGCUGGCGGCGUGCCUAAUACAUGCAAGUCGAGCGAACAGACGAGGAGCUUACUCCUCUGACGUUAGCGGCGGACGGGUGAGUAACACGUGGAUAACCUACCUAUAAGACUGGGAUAACUUCGGGAAACCGGAGCUAAUACCGGAUAACAUUUUGAACCGCAUGGUUCAACAGUGAAAGACGGUCUUGCUGUCACUUAUAGAUGGAUCCGCGUCGCAUUAGCUAGUUGGUAAGGUAACGGCUUACCAAGGCAACGAUGCGUAGCCGACCUGAGAGGGUGAUCGGCCACACUGGAACUGAGACACGGUCCAGACUCCUACGGGAGGCAGCAGUAGGGAAUCUUCCGCAAUGGGCGAAAGCCUGACGGAGCAACGCCGCGUGAGUGAAGAAGGUCUUCGGAUCGUAAAACUCUGUUAUUAGGGAAGAACAAAUGUGUAAGUAACUAUGCACGUCUUGACGGUACCUAAUCAGAAAGCCACGGCUAACUACGUG
rnacentral:rRNA from 1 species